AUGAACGCUGGCGGCGUGCUUAACACAUGCACGUCGAACGGAAAGGCUCCUGCUUGCAGGGGUACUCGAGUGGCGAACGGGUGAGUAACACGUGGGUGAUCUGCCCUGCACUUCGGGAUAAGCCUGGGAAACUGGGUCUAAUACCGGAUAGGACCACAUUUUGGAUGGUGUGGUGGAAAGUUUUUCGGUGUGGGAUGAGCUCGCGGCCUAUCAGCUUGUUGGUGGGGUAAUGGCCUACCAAGGCGUCGACGGGUAGCCGGCCUGAGAGGGUGUACGGCCACAUUGGGACUGAGAUACGGCCCAGACUCCUACGGGAGGCAGCAGUGGGGAAUAUUGCACAAUGGGCGCAAGCCUGAUGCAGCGACGCCGCGUGGGGGAUGACGGCCUUCGGGUUGUAAACUCCUUUCGCUAGGGACGAAGCGCAAGUGACGGUACCUGGAGAAGAAGCACCGGCUAACUACGUG
rnacentral:rRNA from 1 species